rnacentral:rRNA from 1 species
UACGUAGGGUGCAAGCGUUAAUCGGAAUUACUGGGCGUAAAGCGUGCGCAGGCGGUUGUGUAAGACAGAUGUGAAAUCCCCGGGCUCAACCUGGGAACUGCAUUUGUGACUGCACGGCUCGAGUGCGGCAGAGGGGGAUGGAAUUCCGCGUGUAGCAGUGAAAUGCGUAGAUAUGCGGAGGAACGCCGAUGGCGAAGGCAAUCCCCUGGGCCUGCACUGACGCUCAUGCACGAAAGCGUGGGGAGCAAACAGG